AUUGAACGCUGGCGGCAGGCUUAACACAUGCAAGUCGAGCGAGCGGCGGACGGGUGAGUAAUGUCUGGGAAACUGCCUGAUGGAGGGGGAUAACUACUGGAAACGGUGGCUAAUACCGCAUACCAUCAGAUGUGCCCAGAUGGGAUUAGCUAGUAGGUGGGGUAAAGGCGCACCUAGGCGACGAUCCGUAGCUGGUCUGAGAGGAUGACCCGCCACACUGGAACGGAGACACGGUCCAGACUCCUACGGGAGGCAGCAGUGGGGAAUAUUGGACAAUGGGCGCAAGCCUGAUGCAGCCAUGCCGCGUGUGUGAAGAAGGCCUUCGGGUUGUAAAGCACUUGCAGCGGGGAGGCGUUACUCGCAGAAUAAGCACCGGCUAACUUCGUGCCAGCAGCCGCGGUAAUAC
rnacentral:rRNA from 1 species